CGCCCGACUUGGGUAUAGGGGCGAAAGACUAAUCGAACCAUCUAGUAGCUGGUUCCCUCCGAAGUUUCCCUCAGGAUAGCUGGCGCUCGGGGACCUUCAAACAGUCAUAUGUUCUAUCUGGUAAAGCGAAUGAUUAGAGGUCUUGGGGUCGAAACGACCUCAACCUAUUCUCAAACUUUAAAUUGGUAUGAACUCUAGCUCGCUGACUUGGAGCCGGAGGAACCUCACAGGUAGAAAUGAGAGCGCCCAGUGGGCCACUCUUGGUAAGCAGGACUGGCGCUGCGGGAUGAACCGUACGCCUGGUUAAAGCGCUUCACUUCCCGCUCUAUGUCGCUCAUCAGACCCCAGAAAAGGUGUUGGUUGAUAUAGACAGCAGGACGGUGGCCAUGGAAGUUGGAAUCCGCUAAGGAGUGUGUAACAACUCACCUGCCGAAUCAAUCAGCCCUGAAAAUGGAUUGCGCUGAGCGUGACGCUUAUACCAGGCCGUCGGCGGUAGUGCCGUACACCCCGACGAGUAGGAGGGACGCCGUGGUGAGCAACGAAGCGAUGGCCGCGAGGCCACGCGGAGCCGCCACGGGCGCAGAUCUUGGUGGUAGUAGCAAAUACUCAAGUGAGAGCCUUGAGGGCCGAGUUGUGGAGAAGGGUUCCAUGUGAACAGCUGUUGCACAUGGGUCAGUCGAUCCUAAGUUCUAGGGAAGUUCCGCUCUGAGCGGCGACGCGAGCCCGCCUCGUGUGGGUUAGCGUCCCCUGGACGAAAGGGAAUCGGGUCAAUAUUCCCGAACCUGAAGGCGGAGCCCGCCACU
rnacentral:rRNA from 1 species